CAAUAGCGUAUAUUAAAGUUGUUGCAGUUAAAAAGCUCGUAGUUGGAUUUCUGGUUGAAGCGACCGGUCGGGCGUUGAUUCGUCUGCACUGGAGUCGGUUUUGGCCAUCCUCUAGGAAAGUGCGUCUGGUAUUAAGUUAUCGGGCGUAUGAUCCUGGUCUUUUACUGUGAAAAAAUUAGAGUGUUUAAAGCAGGCCUUCGCCUUGAAUACAUUAGCAUGGAAUAAUAAGAUAGGACUUUGGUCUAUUUUGUUGGUUUGCAGACCGAAGUAAUGAUUAAUAGGGAUAGUUGGGGGUAUUUAUAUUCCGAUGUCAGAGGUGAAAUUCUUGGAUUUACGGAAGACGAACUACUGCGAAAGCAUUUACCAAGGAUGUUUUCAUUAA
rnacentral:rRNA from 1 species